GCCCCCGUGGUCUAGCGGCUAGGACAUCGCCCUUUCAAGGCGGCGGCAGGAGUUCAACUCUCCUCGGGGGCACCA
rnacentral:tRNA from 1 species